AAUAGAUCACGGAAAAGAAGAGAAAAAAGGUGAUUAUACUAGGCUAGGAAAACGAAAAUAAUGAAGAUAAACAAAAGGACAGGAUAUUAAAACAAUCGGAAGUGGAAAUUUUGGAACAAUUGAAUUUCCACAACGUCGACCACAGUUGUCAAAAAUUUGUGUUUUUUUUCAUAUCUUCGUGAAAUAAAAAAGAUGAACGGUUUAACAGCAAUAGUACACAAAUUUACAAUGUUUAUAAACAAAAUAUUAUUCUGUUUAUUCAGGAUUAAGACAACAAACUCUUAGUGAAUAUUAUUGUUUUUUCAUUCAUACCUAAUCAAUAUCUUAUCUAUAUAUGAUUAUAAUAAAAAAAUCUAACGUGAUUUUCUGCACAAUUGUGUAUUUUACGAAGAUGAAGAGGGGUACAGUAUCAAAAAUUCGUGAAACUCGAGCGGACCCAGAUGAUCACGUUGAAAAAUUGCACGAGGCAGUCUGAGUGACUUUAGAAUGGAGAAAAGAUGUAAUCCAUUCCCAUCAUAAUUUGUUUUUGUAUUUGUGAUUUUCCGAGGGAAAAUGUCAAUAACGCUAUCUCUAAAAUUGUCCUUUUCAUCAAUUUCAAUUGAUCGUCUUUCACGGGGUGUGCAUUUUUAUAAUAAAUUGUCCAAAUGUGCUGCAUGAAUAUCUUGGAACAUACUAUAUUUCUCAUUAAAAAAUGUAUUUCUUAAAAUCCAAAAACAUCAACCAAUAUUUUACACACAAAAAUUAUGGUAUGUA